CGCGGGCUUGUCGUUACGGAGACGUUUCGGCAAACUAUAAAAAGCRAAGGUCGAAAAGAAUUAKCUUUAAUUUUCCGUAGAGAAACCCCGAUGAGUGGCUCCAAAUGAAAUACAAAAUGUGAGAUGGGAGAACAAGGGGGUUUGGUGGCGACGCAUCACGAGGAUCCUUGGUUCGAACCCCCAGCUUGGUCUUCCUGCGUGGAGUUUUCAUGAGUGAGUCCUCUCUGGAUGCUAACUAACAGUGGGGGAACAAAUGCUUCCCUUCCCCAGUUACUUCCUCCUGCUCCUCCAGGGAGACGCUGAGCCGCCCAAUGACAAGUGGGAGAUAAAGGCYGUUCUGCCCGGUAACAGAGAAACGCCUACAACUGCACCACAUCUCCUCGAAUUAGUUCACCUGCCUCCUUUGUCAUCUUCCACCCCCACCACCUCAGUCUGUCAGCUCUCUGUUCUUUCCGCUACAUCACCUGUUCUCUCUCCUGCUCUUCCUGCAAUUUACCUUCGGGUUUUCAGUCGGACGUUUGCUGCGGUUCUGUGUUGGCACCGACCGGAUGGGACACGAGGCAGCGGCUUCUCUCCUGCACUUUGGCG